rnacentral:lncRNA from 1 species
GUAAAUUUCCACGUAUACAGAUUUUGCCAGUUUUUUCAACUAGUUUAUCUUUUGAGGCUUUAUUAUUUGUUUCUGACGACACUGCAGAUGAGUCUGACUUCUGGCUAACUUUACACAAAAAAUGUACUGUAAAUUCAUGCUGAGAUCUGGGCAGGCAGAGGUAUGCAUGACCAUCUAAAGAUGUUAUCUUCACAAUGCCACUCUCCAUAUAUAUCAUGGUACCAUCUGUAUCAAGACUGGGCCAUCUCACUUCUGUUAUGUCAAUGAAGAUAUGCUGCAAUGAGGGGGGAAAAGAGACGGAUGUGCUGAAACAGGUGGUGACUUUUCAAAUAAAAAUUCAGAGCCACAGGGAGAAAGUUGCAAUGUGGAACCAUCAACAUAUUGUACUUGUACUGAAUCAUCUUCAUAAAGUACCAUUCGCAGUUCGGCUGCCAUUACUACGGCAGGAUAAGAUAUCCUUCUAAGUCAAAGACUGAAUGAAAUAGGAAAAACAAUAGCAUAAAUAGUUC